GCAGCCGCGGUAAUUCCAGCUCUAAUAGUGUAUAUUAAAGUUGUUGCAGUUAAAAAGCUCGUAGCUGAAUUUCGGGGUUCUAUCGUUGGCCGGACUAUUGUCUGUACUGGCGUGUAGAAUUUCUACCUUCUGGGGAACUAUCAUGUUAUUAAUUUAGCGUGGUAGGAAACCAGGACCUUUACCUUGAAAAAAUUAGAGUGUUCAAAGCAGGCUUAUGUCUGAAUACAUUAGCAUGGAAUAAUAAAAUUGGACGGUGGUCCUGUUUUGUUGGUUUCUGAAUCACCGUAAUGAUUAAUAGGGAUAGUUGGG
rnacentral:rRNA from 1 species